rnacentral:rRNA from 1 species
GCAGGCUGAAAUUACGCCUGCAUGAAGCCGGAAUUGCUAGUAAUGGCAGGUCAGCAUACUGCCGUGAAUACGUUCCCGGGCCUUGUACACACCGCCCGUCACACCAUGAGAGUUGGGGAUACCCAAAGCCCGUGAGCCAACAUUAAAUGAGGCAGCGGUCUAAGGUAGAAUCAAUGAUUGGGGUGAAGUCGUAACAAGGUACC